UGUGUAUGCUUUUUUCCCUGUUAAUCUGUCUAUUGUCUGUUCAUUUCAGUAGAUUAAACCCUCAGAGGGGAGGAAAAAUUCUCUUUACUCCUAUAGUUCCCACCAGCAACAGUGAGGGCACAGGGCCAGGUCUGGGUGCUGGCUGGUGCUGUGUGCCCCACUGUAAGGCAUUUCUCAGCUCCACAUCUUUCACUUUAAUUGAAUUAAAGCCCAUAAGGAGAUGUAACUCCCAGCAAUGUUUGUCAAUGUGGAGCCUUUGAAAAUGAUGCAACAAUUUAACAGCAGAGGACAUUCUUUGUCAAAAUAAUAGCGUAGAAACAUUUUACUGAUGUGACAUAUGCUAUUUGUAAUGCCUAUUUGUGGGGAAAGCAUAAUCUCAUUUUUAAAUGAAAAAUUACACACACACAUACACACACACAAGCCUGGGAAGCUAAGAACACACAGUGACAUGUUAACAGUGUUACUGCUGGAUGGUAAAGGGAGGGCUGAUGGGCUAGCGAUAUGUGGCAUGGUAACCUCUCUUGACGCUGGGCAGUGGCGGCAAGCACAGCUCCCAGUCAGCCAUGCAAUCAUCAGGAUACGUGUGGCUCAGGACACCCUGCUGUCAGAGUUUCACUAUCCUAAGCACAAUGUAACAACUCAUAAUGGCCACACAGUGUUUUGGUAACAUGGAGGAAUAAAAAAGUUGUAUAAACGGCAUCAAGAUUCCCUUAAGACUAUCACGCUAAUAGAAGCAAUAAACAUC